GUUGUGGACCAGGAACUACUUUCCACUCGAGCAGCGCUUGACACUGGUGAUCGCCUGCUUGUAUGCCCUUGUUAGCCACGCAGCUAACCUAAGUACCCUAUUUGGAAAGAUGCAUUGAAUUUUAUUUCAGAAAGCAAUCUGAUAGACACGUAUAUUUGCCAUUAGUUGCUAAUAGCAGGAUGUUACGAGCCGGAAGUGUAGUUACCUGCAUUGCCUGCAAGAAUCUGCUUCCCUCCAGAAUGGGGGUGAAGUUCAGAGUUCCUCUGCAGAAACUGCACCCGCUCUCCCGUGCCAUCCAUCACCGCUACUCAGCUAACAGCAAUCCUCAAAGACCACCUCACUGCUCAGCUGCCCGCCAUUACACGUCUCUUUCCAGGCUCCCUAUGCGUCCUCCCAAAUCCCGAUCAGGAGGCCACGGCUAUCAACAGCACCGGUCCUUCUGGGUAGCCCGUCUUGCUGCCAGACUGCUGAAACUGAGGUACAUCUUGCUGGGCUCAGCAGUUGGAGGUGGAUAUACAGCAAAAAAGACUUACGAUGAAUGGAAGGAUAUGCUUCCUGAUAUGAGCCAAUACACAUGGAUUGUGCCAGACUUUGUUUGGGAGCUGAGUGAAAACAUUGACUUAGACAAGCUAGCCAGCGCUUUGCCUGAAUUAGAAGAGAUAGCCAAACUACUACCUGAUAUGGAAAAGAUCGGAGAGAACUUCACCUUCCUGAAGAGCCUCCUCUCUAGUGGUUUGGGUAGUGAAGUCAAUGGAGCUUCUGGUCUGCGUCUGUUAUUAGAAACCACAGGUGAAUCAACCCUGAGAGCAACAGAUGUCCCACCAACAUCUGCAGCCAUGUCUGACAGCAGUGAUAAACAGUUUAAGAAGCAGGGGCUGCUCAGCGAGCUCAUUCUCAUUCAGCAGCAGAUCCAGCAACAUGAGGAGGAGAUGCGGCGGGCGGCAGCCAAUAAUGCUCCGCCUCCGCCGCGUGAACCCAGUCCCAGCCCGGCCCCGAACCCCAGCCCCUCGCAGUCCAAACGCAAGUCAUCUGACAAAGAAAAAGUUGACCAGCUUCAGGAGGAACUUCUUCGAACACAGUUAAAGUACCAACGGAUGCUGGAGCGUUUGGAGAAGGAGAAUAAGGAACUGAGGAAAGUGGUGCUGCAGAAAGAUGACAAGGGCAUUCACCAAAGAAAAGUCAAGAAGUCCUUGAUUGAUAUGUACUCUGAGGUCCUGGACAUUCUGUCAGAUUAUGACUCUAACUACAAUACUCAAGAUCAUCUACCAAGGGUGGUGGUAGUUGGAGACCAGAGUGCUGGGAAGACCAGUGUGUUGGAGAUGAUCGCUCAAGCUAGGAUCUUCCCCAGAGGCUCUGGAGAAAUGAUGACCAGAUCUCCUGUCAAGGUGACGUUGAGUGAAGGCCCUCACCAUGUAGCAAUGUUUAAAGACAGCUCUCGUGAAUUCGACCUUGGGAAAGAGGAGGAUCUCGCAGCAUUGAGGCACGAGAUCGAAAUCAGGAUGAGGAAGAGUGUGAAGGAAGGGCAGACAGUCAGUCCUGAGACCAUCUCUUUAAGCGUAAAGGGUCCAGGAAUCCAGAGAAUGGUGCUUGUUGACUUGCCUGGUGUCAUCAGUACUGUGACAACCGGCAUGGCUGCUGACACAAAAGAAACCAUUUUUAGCAUUAGUAAAGCCUACAUGCAGAAUCCAAAUGCCAUCAUCCUCUGCAUUCAGGAUGGUUCAGUAGACGCAGAGCGUAGUAUAGUCACUGAUCUUGUCAGUCAGAUGGACCCUCAGGGCAGAAGGACCAUCUUUGUUCUUACCAAGGUUGACCUGGCAGAAAAGAACCUAGCUAGUCCAAGCAGAAUCCAGCAAAUAGUUGAAGGCAAGUUAUUCCCAAUGAAGGCUUUGGGAUACUUUGCUGUAGUAACUGGCAGAGGCAGUUCUAAUGAAAGCAUAGACUCCAUCAAAGACUACGAGGAGGACUUCUUUCAGAGCUCAAGACUGCUGAAGGAUGGCAUGUUGAAAGCUCAUCAGGUGACCACAAAGAACCUGAGUCUUGCUGUGUCAGACUGCUUCUGGAAGAUGGUCAGGGAGUCGGUAGAACAACAAGCAGAUGCCUUCAAAGCAUCCCGAUUUAAUCUGGAGACUGAGUGGAAAAACAACUAUCCUCGCUUACGAGAGCUGGACAGGAACGAGCUGUAUGAGAAGGCCAAAAAUGAGAUCUUGGAUGAGGUGAUCAGCUUGAGUCAAGUUACACCAAAACACUGGGAGUCCAUCUUACAAAAGAAGCUUUGGGAAAGGGUCUCAACACACGUUAUUGAGAACAUAUACCUGCCUGCCGCUCAGACCAUGAACUCAGGCACUUUCAACACCACUGUAGACAUCAAACUUAAGCAGUGGACCGAUAAACAACUUCCUCAUAAAGCACUGGAGGUUGCUUGGGAGACAUUGCAGGAGGAAUUUGCCCGCUUUAUGGCAGAAUACAAAGGGAAAGACCAGGAUGAUAUCUUUGAUAAGCUAAAAGAAGCAGUCAAGGAUGAAAGCAUUAAACGACACAAGUGGAAUGAAAGAGCCAUGGACAGCUUGAGAGUGAUUCAGCACAAUGCUCUGGAGGAUCGCUCUAUCACAGACAAGCCCCAGUGGGAUGCCGCUAUUCAGUUCAUGGAAGAAACGCUGCAGUCCCGCCUUAAAGACACUGACUCAGUAAUAGGAGAUAUGGUGGGGCCAGACUGGAAGCAGAGGUGGUUGAGCUGGAAAAAUCGAACACCAGAACAGCACAUCCGUAAUGAGACCAAAAACGAGCUGGAGCGUCUGUUGAAGUUGCAUGAGGAUCACACAGCCUACCUGGCCAAUGACGAGGUCACUACAGUGCGCAAAAACCUGGAGGCCCGAGGAGUGGAAGUGGACCCCGUUUUGAUCAAGGACACGUGGCACCAACUCUAUCGGCGUCAUUUCCUGCAGAAGGCGUUACUACAUUGUAAUCUCUGCCGGAGAGGUUUCUACUACUACCAGAGGCACUUUGUAGAUUCUGAGCUUGAGUGCAAUGAUGUGGUUCUGUUCUGGAGGAUCCAGAGGAUGUUGGCCAUCACAGCCAAUACUCUUAGACAACAGCUCACUAAUACAGAAGUGCGACGCUUGGAGAAGAACGUUAAAGAAGUAUUAGAGGACUUUGGAGAGGAUACUGAGAAGAAAGUCCAGCUGAUCACAGGCAGGAGGGUUCAGUUGGCAGAAGACCUCAGUAAAAAAAGUACGUGAAAUUCAGGAGAAACUUGAAGCUUUUAUUGAAGCUCUUCACAAAGAGAAAUAGAGCAGUAGGAUCAUCUUGUUUCUGGACAGUCAUGCCCUUACAGAAGAAAAUGCACUGAUUAAAUACAACAUCAUUUUUGCUCUUUGCCCUUUGUAAACUUUCUACCCAGCUCAUCGUCUUCUCUGUUUUUAAUGUAUCCUCCUUCAGCUUCCAGUCUUCUCGAACACGCUUCUCUCUCACACUCUCCCCCCCUGAAAAUCAGUGAAAGUAAGCAAAGUGAGCUGGAGCCCCUUUACGUUUGCUGCAUAUUUAAUCACUGUUGGAGAACAAGCACUUACUCAAGUAAAGAAUGGUACAUGUCAGUGCCAUGCAUUCUUUCUUUCGUCCUCCAGCGCUUAAAAGCCACCAAUGUGUUCCCCAGACAUGUUCUACGAGGAAUCAGUCAGACAGACAUGCGCACACAUCUUCUCUCAAUCCCACGUUCCCAAUAAAAUACUUUGUCCGGGUCUCUCUUUGCCCUGACUUUCUUUAUUAGUUAAGGUGAUGUUUAUGGUAAAGCCAAAUGGUGAAAUGCAUCUGGCAUUGCUAUAAAUAGAGAAAGUAUUCAAAAAAUGUCUUAUCACCAGUUGCCGCCUUCAUUCAUGUUUUGGAACUGUUAUUUCACAAUGUUUAUUGAACAUCUGUCUCUUUUUUUUGACGCAUUCACAGCCACAGUAACAAUAUACCAGUAGACCACCGUCUAAAUCUUUUGUAAUUAUUUUGUAGAUUCUGUUAUUGAUAUAUGCAGUUGUUUGUACAGUAGAUCUAAUCUGCACCUCAUUUGCUUAUAGUCAUCUUUAGCUUAGUUUAAUAUAUUGAAGAAAGAGCUAGGAGACGUGGUCCUGAAGAUGCAGAACAUUUCUUUAUAAGGAGACCAGAUCACACCAUCUGCUCACACAGGUGGAUAAAAAUGCAUCGGCAUAUCCUGUUUGCUCCUUUGGCCCUAAACACCAUUUCCUCUCACUUUGUUUUACGACUGUUUACUUUUGAGAGAUUCAAAUGGUUCUUCUUUUCGUCAGUCAUCUUCAGCUUUAGUGCACUUUUAAUUCUUUGCUUGCACAUUUUAUAUUUCGAAUUAAUAGAUUUGUUUUGUGGUCUCACUGGGUUUUAUAUAAAAUCCACAUUAAUGUCCUGAGCAUUUUGAGUGUAAGGGACACCACAUUUUUGUUAAUGGUUGCUUAUAAAUGUAAAUGGGUAAAUUAUACAUGUGCUUGUAUAGUAUCUCUUGAGUAAGUUCAUUGAAAUCACUGAUCUGUCGUCACAGUGGGAAAAUAUCUGAGUGUGGUGCUUGUAACAGAAUAUCUGUCGAAUGAUUUAGGAACGUUUCCUCCUUUUUUGUUGUAGAUUGUAAUGUUUGCAUGUUGUACCCCAUCAGAUGUGGUUUAUUUAUUGAAUUGGUGUUAAAAAAAAAGGAGUAAUAAAAGUGACUUUAAAUGUA